rnacentral:rRNA from 1 species
UACGGGGGGGGCAAGCGUUGUUCGGAAUUACUGGGCGUAAAGGGCUCGUAGGCGGCCAACUAAGUCGGACGUGAAAUCCCUCGGCUUAACCGGGGAACGGCGUCCGAUACUGGAUGGCUUGAGUUUGGGAGAGGGAUGCGGAAUUCCAGGUGUAGCGGUGAAAUGCGUAGAGAUGUGGAGGAAUACCGAUGGCGAAGGCAGCCCCCUGGGCCAAUACUGACGCUCAUGCACGAAAGCGUGGGGAGCAAACAGG